ensembl:lncRNA
CCGGAUGCGGGCAGCACCGAGACGGAAGCGCGGCAGGACGGGAGCGGUGCUGAGGACAGCGGCGCCGGAGGUGCCCCGAUGAUGGCCCAGGCAUGAAAGAGCCCAGAGCUCGUCGCUGGGGAAAGGCUGCGUAUGGCGUUGUGAAGGGAGAGGUGGAGGAGGGCUUUGAGCAGCACUGUGCAGGAAUGAUCGGCUGGUAAGUGAAGAGGUGUGUGUGCUGAGAGCAAGGGCUGUACGGCUCAUCUCUGUGUUGUCACUGGAAAUGCCCGGCAGAGCUCCUUGCUCUCUGUUCUUUCUUGCAAGGCUGUGGCGCUUCAAAGUGCGCUGUGGGUGGGGAGCACGAUGACAGCCCAAGGGUGGCACCAGGAGAUGCAGCACAGCCCUCUCCAGCAGCAGGGUGCAUUAAUUGGUCUUGCUAAUUCUUCACGGAGAAGGCAGGAGCUGGGCAGCGGUACUGCAGCUCGUCUGGCAGCUUUGCAGCUGAGUUUGGAAGUAGAAGAUGUGGCUGUGAAAGAAGAAGCACAGCUCUCUGUGCAACAGCAAAGCUCCUUCCUGAUUGCUGUGGCGUUACUUCACUCUCCUCAAAAUCCUCUCCGGCUUUCUUCUGAACUUGUGCGGUGCUUGGAGAGCUCAUUGUUACCGUGGCAAGGGGCUUUGAAAAGGCUUCCCGGCUAAAGCUCCGUCUUCCUCACCUGCCCUACGGAGGAGAACGAGAAGGCGUUCAGUGCUUUGCACAGGGGCUGCGUCUCCUGUCCUCCAGCGCUGCCCGGCUCAUUUGCGGCUGCCUCCAUUGGGAACGACUGCUCUGCCCGGGUGCGGGGGGAGGGCCAGAGAGCGAGGCUGGGCGCUCGGAGCCUUUCCUGAUCUAACGAGCUCCCUCUUCAGCACUUCUGUUUCUCAGCAGGUAACCGCAAUCGUAACAGCCAUAGAGCUGGAGGGGGCCUUUAAAGGCCAUCUCGUCCAACAGCCCCGCAACAAAGAGGGACACCGCAGCUCCAGCAGGCUGUCCAGGGCCUGGUCCAGCCUGGCCCUCUAAGGCUCCCCGUGCUCCAACCCCGCAUUUCCUGCCGAGCCCUGCCGUAAGGAACUCCUGGCACCCACGGAAAAGCCUCCCAGUCACCCCCCGACAGCAAAACCCCACGGCCGCACGUAUCCCAGUAGCCAAGAGAACUCUCGGCACCAUCCCGCGCAACUCCAGGCUCCGCACACCAACACCCACAGUCAGACCCGACGCUGACAUCCUUGUCCCGACGCCUCUUCGGCUCCGGCAGCUCAGGGCUGUCACCGCUGCCCUGGGCACUUUGGCCCACGCCCACCGCCCCGCAGCCAACAACCCUUUCCCGAUCCCCACCCGGACCCUCUCCUUCGCUUCACGACCGCAACGGCAGCGCGAACGGAUCGCAAACCGCGCCGCAGCCGCCAAAGCACUCCGCGACCUCUGCGGUACGGACCGCCUUUCCCCACACACACAGCGACACCGCCAAACGACGCGCAGCUCACACACACACAGGGAAUGCCGCAGCGCAGCGCAGCGCCAUGGCGGGGCCACAACGGCAGCCGCGGCCUCACGGCCCCGUCCGGCACAGCUCAGCACAGCAAGGAACAGCAAAGAACAGAACAGAAC